rnacentral:rRNA from 1 species
AAAAGGAAUGGGCGGCGUGCUUACACAUGCAGUCGAACGGUGUAAGCCCAGCUUGCUGGGUGGAUCAGUGGCGAACGGGUGAGUAACACGUGAGCAAUCUGCCCCUGACUCUGGGAUAAGCGCUGGAAACGGCGUCUAAUACCGGAUACGAGCUGCGGCCGCAUGGUCGGCAGUUGGAAAGAUUUUUCGGUCAGGGAUGAGCUCGCGGCCUAUCAGCUUGUUGGUGAGGUAAUGGCUCACCAAGGCGUCGACGGGUAGCCGGCCUGAGAGGGUGACCGGCCACACUGGGACUGAGACACGGCCCAGACUCCUACGGGAGGCAGCAGUGGGGAAUAUUGCACAAUGGGCGGAAGCCUGAUGCAGCAACGCCGCGUGAGGGAUGACGGCCUUCGGGUUGUAAACCUCUUUUAGCAGGAAAGAAACGAAUGUGAUGGUACUUGCAA